GUUUUGGUGACCGAGUAAUAAGGUGAGAGAUUUUUAAUCUCUUUACGGGAUUUACCCCCAAAGCA
rnacentral:tRNA from 1 species